rnacentral:rRNA from 1 species
UACGUAGGGUGCAAGCGUUAUCCGGAAUUAUUGGGCGUAAAGAGCUCGUAGGCGGUUUGUCACGUCUGCUGUGAAAACUGGAGGCUCAACCUCCAGCCUGCAGUGGGUACGGGCAGACUAGAGUGCGGUAGGGGAGAUUGGAAUUCCUGGUGUAGCGGUGGAAUGCGCAGAUAUCAGGAGGAACACCGGUGGCGAAGGCGGGACUCUGGGCCGAUACUGACGCUGAGGAGCGAAAGCGUGGGGAGCAAACAGG